UGGGGAAUAUUGCACAAUGGGCGCAAGCCUGAUGCAGCCAUGCCGCGUGUAUGAAGAAGGCCUUCGGGUUGUAAAGUACUUUCAGCGGGGAGGAAGGGAGUAAAGUUAAUACCUUUGCUCAUUGACGUUAUCCGCAGAAGAAGCACCGGCUAACUCCGUGCCAGCAGCCGCGGUAAUACGGAGGGUGCAAGCGUUAAUCGGAAUUACUGGGCGUAAAGCGCACGCAGGCGGUCUGUCAAGUCGGAUGUGAAAUCCCCGGGCUCAACCUGGGAACUGCAUUCGAAACUGGCAGGCUAGAGUCUUGUAGAGGGGGGUAGAAUUCCAGGUGUAGCGAUGAAAUGCGUAGAGAUCUGGAGGAAUACCGGUGGCGAAGGCGGCCCCCUGGACAAAGACUGACGCUCAGGUGCGAAAGCGUGGGGAGCAAACAGG
rnacentral:rRNA from 1 species